GACAACGAAAUAACGUAUUGUUUGAUGAUGCCAAUAAAUAAAUGAAAUUGGAGUCCGGAAAUUGGAAUGUUAUUUCUCAAGUUUGUUUAGUAAUUUUUUUGUGUAGUAUCCUUAUUUCAGUUUUGUGCAUUUUUUUGCACUUUCGAACACAAGUCUAGUCAUGCCAUACUUGUAUCCACAUUUGCCCGAUUAAGGUGGCACGGGCAUGUGAUUCUCGCUCGGAAGGUUUGUGUAAACCAAAGGUUUAUAUAUAUAUAUAUAUUUAAUGUAAUUUUCUUUAUGAAACAUAUCAACGAUAUUUACGAUUAUUUUAUCAUCACGAUGUUUACAGAGGUGCAAGCAUUUCGAAAUUGGUGGAGACGAAAAAGGAAAUGGAGCCUCUCUUUCUAGGCGUGCUUCUGUGGGAAUUGAGAAGGAAUUUGUUUUGGAAUUUGUUUUGCUAUUGUAAAAGUCCCCAUCUAAUACACACUUUUUUUUUGUUAUUUUGAAAGCUAAACAUCAAAUUGUUUGUCGUUGUGAGUAUUAUGACUUCAAAUGAUUAUGUUUGUAAGAGUUAAUACCGUUUAUUACAUAGACCUAAUUACAUAUGUUCGUAAGAGUUAAUACCAUUUAUGGGAUUUAUGGCAAAUAUUUUGUAUUGUUUGCCCACUUUAUAAAGUUUUAUUUCCCAACA
rnacentral:lncRNA from 1 species